AGUGAACGCUGGCGGUAGGCCUAACACAUGCAAGUCGAACGGCAGCACAGUAAGAGCUUGCUCUUACGGGUGGCGAGUGGCGGACGGGUGAGGAAUACAUCGGAAUCUACUUUUUCGUGGGGGAUAACGUAGGGAAACUUACGCUAAUACCGCAUACGACCUACGGGUGAAAGCAGGGGAUCUUCGGCCCUUGCGCGAUUGAAUGAGCCGAUGUCGGAUUAGCUAGUUGGCGGGGUAAAGGCCCACCAAGGCGACGAUCCGUAGCUGGUCUGAGAGGAUGAUCAGCCACACUGGAACUGAGAUACGGUCCAGACUCCUACGGGAGGCAGCAGUGGGGAAUAUUGGACAAUGGGCGCAAGCCUGAUCCAGCCAUACCGCGUGGGUGAAGAAGGCCUUCGGGUUGUAAAGCCCUUUUGUUGGGAAAGAAAAGCAGCAGGUUAAUACCCCGCUGUUCUGACGGUACCCAAAGAAUAAGCACCGGCUAACUUCGUG
rnacentral:rRNA from 1 species